CUGAUCGGCCACAUUGGGACUGAGACACGGCCCAAACUCCUACGGGAGGGUGCAGUAGGAAUCUUCCACAAUGGGCGAAAGCCUGAUGGAGCAACGCCGCGUGUUUGAUGAAGGCUUUCGGGUCGUAAAGCACUGUUGUAUGGGAAGAACAGCUAGAAUAGGAAAUGAUUUUAGUUUGACGGUACCAUACCAGAAAGGGACGGCUAAAUACGUGCCAGCAGCCGCGGUAAUACGUAUGUCCCGAGCGUUAUCCGGAUUUAUUGGGCGUAAAGCGAGCGCAGACGGUUUAUUAAGUCUGAUGUGAAAGCCCGGAGCUCAACUCCGGAAUGGCAUUGGAAACUGGUUAACUUGAGUGCAGUAGAGGUAAGUGGAACUCCAUGUGUAGCGGUGGAAUGCGUAGAUAUAUGGAAGAACACCAGUGGCGAAGGCGGCUUACUGGACUGCAACUGACGUUGAGGCUCGAAAGUGUGGGUAGCAAACAGGAUUAGAUACCCUGGUAGUCCACACCGUAAACGAUGAACACUAGGUGUUAGGAGGUUUCCGCCUCUUAGUGCCGAAGCUAACGCAUUAAGUGUUCCGCCUGGGGAGUACGACCGCAAGGUUGAAACUCAAAGGAAUUGACGGGGACCCGCACAAGCGGUGGAGCAUGUGGUUUAAUUCGAAGCAACGCGAAGAACCUUACCAGGUCUUGACAUCCUUUGAAGCUUUUAGAGAUAGAAGUGUUCUCUUCGGAGACAAAGUGACAGGUGGUGCAUGGUCGUCGUCAGCUCGUGUCGUGAGAUGUUGGGUUAAGUCCCGCAACGAGCGCAACCCUUAUUGUUAGUUGCCAGCAUUCAGAUGGGCACUCUAGCGAGACUGCCGGUGACAAACCGGAGGAAGGCGGGGACGACGUCAGAUCAUCAUGCCCCUUAUGACCUGGGCUACACACGUGCUACAAUGGCGUAUACAACGAGUUGCCAACCCGCGAGGGUGAGCUAAUCUCUUAAAGUACGUCUCAGUUCGGAUUGUAGUCUGCAACUCGACUACAUGAAGUCGGAAUCGCUAGUAAUCGCGGAUCAGCACGCCGCGGUGAAUACGUUCCCGGGUCUUGUACACACCGCCCGUCACACCAUGGGAGUUUGUAAUGCCCAAAGCCGGUGGCCUAACCUUUAGGAAGGAGCC
rnacentral:rRNA from 1 species